rnacentral:lncRNA from 1 species
CUGGAAUCUGACAAAUUUGUGGAGUUCAAAAGAUUCAGUUGUAGGAGCAUAUCUCAGGACCUAGAGAAAGUUCUAUAGUUUUUCAGUUAUUGUCAAGAAAAGGGUUAAAGUGAUGAGUCAGCGAGAUGCGUGUUUGCCAGGCAAACUCGGAUGCCAGCUGUCCCUUACACUGAGGGGCUGGCCACCUCCCUCCGUGGGAGAGAAUGUUACUCCAGAUAGGUGGGCGCGCCACCAGUGUGUGUGUCCUUGAGUCUAGCCAAGGCUGGGAAUGACCCUUCCAGUCUUGCAGGCUUGUUGACACCAAGUCUGAACACAACACUUAAGAAACUAACAAACUGGAUAUCGUGCUGUGUUCUGAUCCUGCCCCAGAACUUUCCCCUUCCUCCUUGGUGCUGUCUUCUUCCUCUUUGGUGCUGUGUAUGAUAACAUAUUAUUUGACUCUGCUCAUAUCUACUAUACUUUUAUAAUCAAUUUACUUGCAUCUUUUUAAAAUCAUGAUGUAGUUCUUCUCUGUCAGUGCAGAUCUGAACCUCAACUUUCUGUGGCCACAUCUAUAUGGCUCCUUGGUAUUACGAUUAUACAAAUACAUACAUGAAUUGAAGGAAAGGGUGAUCACUUUUGAGCUCUUAUUGAUAUGCAGAUUCCAAAGGAAGUAAGGCCUCAAAAGGCAGAGUGUUUUCACUUAAAGUGCAAAAGACAGGGAUGUAAAGAAGGUGGCAUAGAUUAAAGCAGGUGAUGGUAUAGAACCUGUAGGGAGAAAGGCUUUUGUGACCCAAGAAAGGCCUAGAAUGUCCUAGUUUGGAUGUAUCCAGGACAUCCACGUGGAUGAGCCCCGAAGGAGAGGUGGGCGAGAUCCCGGAGUAUAGAAAGAUCUGUGAGACGAUGAAAAUAAAGCGCGUAAUAGCUGUGGACUACAUUCAAAGUUGUUAUUCCACAAUUAUCAAACACAACAGGAAGAAAGAGGAAGAUGAAUGGAGGAUUUCAGCGUCUUUCGCAUGAGGCAAAAGGAAAAAGUGCGUCUGCAGCGCCCUUCUGCAGCUCCCGUGCUCACUGCCACCCUCGGCGGGCGAAGGAGUCCCCACGCACACACUGCCCCGCUGCCGAGGCUCGCAGGGUCAGUUACACGAAACCCGUCAGAGAUGGCCUUUGUUCUUAUCCCACCAGACAGACUCUGACCCAGGCCGAAUCUUACCAGAGAAGUGGAAACCAACACCAAGGCACCUGCUCUGGCCCCCAAGAAAUCAACACUGCCACCCAGCGACAGCAAUGGCUACUGCAGACGAGCAAGCAUAGAGUUUAAAGUACAGGCCCAGGCCCCAAAAGAAAAUUAAACCUGGCAAAAAUACAUUAAAGGCACUACAUUACAGGAGCCAAGUAAUAGCCCUACUGUGCUGAAUUACUUUAGAAUCCACUACUGUCACCUGGCAACAGCUCAGUGCUUAUCUGCCUCCGUGGCAGAGGAGUCGCAAGGCAUCUGGGCACCUAGAGGUCCCCUCCGACAUUUGUCGUUGCUGAUGUUUAAAGAGAAAAUAGUGAAUGAUUCCGGCUGUGCCUAGAAGCUGUGUUAGGGAAAUAUGAGAAGUGGCACGAACUUCAUAUACCAAAAUAAAAAUCAAUUUUGGUGCAAUGACUAGGAUUAAAAGGUUUGGGAUCGUUCAUGUGCGCGCACCUGUGUGUGUGUGUGUGUGUGUGUGUGUGUGUGUGUGUGCGCAUGCACGCUCACAUGCAGUAUCAGCACUGCAACACCUGGUCAGAUAACAUUUUAAGACAUUUCUGUACCAGGAGUGUCAAGGUCAUGUUUUUCUCAUAGCUAAGCCAGAAAUACUAAAAACAAGUAACUCAAACGUCAUUUAUUUGGCGAUACAGCAGCAAAGGAACAGCAACGUCUCUGCUGAGUAACUCAGACUCACCGCCACCUCCAGAACUGAGGACUGUUCUUCCAGUACGGCAAGAAGUGCCUGACCUGGGUCAUCAGAGGCAAAGCUCUUAUUCAAACACUACUGCAACUAGAACCAUAAAGCUCAAAAUGCACGACGAGACACACU